GCCCCUCAUCUCUCUGUGCAGUGUCCUAACACUGUCAGAUGUGGUUUUUGGUUCUUUGAGUCCCAGAGCUCGGAGGGUUGAAGUGUUUGGCUUGCCAACGGAAUGGGGCUGGUAGUGGCGAGUGGUGGAUUGAUCUCACAGACAAGCCUUAUGUCGCCCAGUAACCAUCCCAUUGUGUGUUUGGCCUUUGACGGAACCCCCUAGUAGCUGAUGUCUUAUGUGUAUGGACAUACAGCUCACACG
rnacentral:misc_RNA from 1 species